rnacentral:rRNA from 1 species
GUUGGUACUUGUACCGACUGGAUGAGCAGCGAACGGGUGAGUAACGCGUGGGGAAUCUGCCUUUGAGCGGGGGACAACAUUUGGAAACGAAUGCUAAUACCGCAUAACAACUUUAAACACAAGUUUUAAGUUUGAAAGAUGCAAUUGCAUCACUCAAAGAUGAUCCCGCGUUGUAUUAGCUAGUUGGUGAGGUAAAGGCUCACCAAGGCGAUGAUACAUAGCCGACCUGAGAGGGUGAUCGGCCACAUUGGGACUGAGACACGGCCCAAACUCCUACGGGAGGCAGCAGUAGGGAAUCUUCGGCAAUGGACGAAAGUCUGACCGAGCAACGCCGCGUGAGUGAAGAAGGUUUUCGGAUCGUAAAACUCUGUUGGUAGAGAAGAACGUUGGUGAGAGUGGAAAGCUCAUCAAGUGACGGUAACUACCCAGAAAGGGACGGCUAACUACGUGCCAGCAGCCGCGGUAAUACGUAGGUCCCGAGCGUUGUCCGGAUUUAUUGGGCGUAAAGCGAGCGCAGGUGGUUUAUUAAGUCUGGUGUAAAAGGCAGUGGCUCAACCAUUGUAUGCAUU